rnacentral:rRNA from 1 species
GACGAACGCUGGCGGCGUGCUUAACACAUGCAAGUCGAACGGAAAGGCCUGCUUUCCCUUGUGGAUUGCGGGUACUCGAGUGGCGAACGGGUGAGUAACACGUGAGUGAUCUGCCCCCAACUUGGGUAUAAGCCUGGGAAACUGGGUCUAAUUCCCGAUAGGACUGCAGGGUGGUGCCUGUGGUGGAAAACGAUUUUCUAGUGGUUGGGGAUGAGCUCGCGGCCUAUCAGCUUGUUGGUGGGGUAAUGGCCUACCAAGGCGGCGACGGGUAGCCGGCCUGAGAGGGUGGACGGCCACAUUGGGACUGAGAUACGGCCCAGACUCCUACGGGAGGCAGCAGUGGGGAAUAUUGCACAAUGGGCGGAAGCCUGAUGCAGCGACGCCGCGUGGGGGAUGACGGCCUUCGGGUUGUAAACUCCUUUCAACCGCGAGGAAGCCACCUGGUUGGAAGGGUGGUGACGGUAGUGGUAGAAGAAGCACCGGCUAACUACGUG